CCUACGGGAGGCAGCAGUGAGGAAUAUUGGUCAAUGGGCGCGAGCCUGAACCAGCCAAGUCGCGUGAGGGAAGACGGCCCUAUGGAUUGUAAACCUCUUUUGUCGGGGAAGAAAAGACGCUACGCGUAGCGUUCCGACAGUACCCGAAGAAAAAGCAUCGGCUAACUCCGUGCCAGCAGCCGCGGUAAUACGGAGGAUGCGAGCGUUAUCCGGAUUUAUUGGGUUUAAAGGGUGCGAAGGCGGACGGUCAAGUCAGUGGUAAAAUGUCGAGGCUAAACCGCGGAGUGCCAUUGAAACUGGGUGGCUCGAGUGCGGACGAGGUAAGGGGAAUACGUGGAGUAGCGGUGAAAUGCUUAGAUAUGACUCAGAACUCCGAUAGCGAAGGCAGCUUACCGGGCCGAGACUGACGCUGAGGCACGAGAGCGUGGGUAGCGAACAGGAUUAGAUACCCCAGUAGUC
rnacentral:rRNA from 1 species